UACGUAGGGGGCAAGCGUUGUUCGGAAUUACUGGGCGUAAAGGGCGCGUAGGCGGCACGGCAAGUCAGGAGUGAAAGCCCUGGGCUCAACCCGGGAACUGCUUUGAAACUGCCGAGCUAGAGUGCGGAAGGGGCAACUGGAAUUCCCAGUGUAGCGGUGAAAUGCGUAGAUAUUGGGAAGAACACCUGAGGCGAAGGCGGGUUGCUGGGCCGACACUGACGCUGA
rnacentral:rRNA from 1 species